rnacentral:rRNA from 1 species
UUUGGCGGAUGUUGCCACAGUGCCCACUGAAACCAAGCAGGUUGAGUCUGGUGAGUACUUGGAUGGGAGACCUCCUGAGGAAAACUAAGAUUGCUGCUGGAA